rnacentral:lncRNA from 1 species
UGGUUGCUGAGGGCAUUGUUUGGGGAGACUAUAGAACCUUUAGGAAGUAAGAGGAUGUAUGUCACAGUGGGCGGACUUUGAGAGUUUAUAACCUUGCCCCACUUCCUGCUUGCUCACUCAUGCUUCCCACCUCCAUGUGCUAACAAAAUGUGACCAUCCAGCUUCCUGUUUCCUGCUAACAAGCCAUGAUGGACUCCAGCCUUCUGGGAGUGCACGUGUCACUGAAAUCAUCACAUGAAGAGUGCAUGGGCUGAACCCUACAUUUCAGGACAUGCAUGAUAACUGUGUGAGCCAGACAACCAGAUUUGAUGAGGACUGCUGGCCAUUAUCCAGGUUUAGAUGGGUGUUCCUUGAAGAAUUCAAAUUGGACUAAGAAGACAUAGAGGAGUUUCUUCCUAUGAGUUUCAAGUGCUGGUGCUGAUCCAACAUCAACUUGUACCUUGUGAGACUCUUCUGUCCUUCUGAUUCUAGUGUCUAUUUGCAAGAAGCACCACAAUUGGUCCUAGUGCAGGGAGCCUCAUGAACCUGGAACUUCAAUAAGUAGGCUAAGCUAGGUGACCAGCAAGCUUCCAGGAUCCAGCUGUCUCCACCUCCCAUCUCAUGGCUGCUGGGAUUUUAACUGCAUCACCACACCUGGCCUUUUGCAUAGGUUCUGGAGACUCUUAAGGCCUUGUCAACUGAACCAUUUCUUUAGGCAUUUUUUUUUUUUUGUUUUGUUUUGUUUUGAGAUGCAGUCUAUGUAGCCCAGGCUACUCUCAAAGUCACAACCCUCUUACUUCAGUCCCCCAAGUGUUUGUUCCACUAAUGGCUAGCAUUACUUAGUCAUCACUGGUGUGUGUGUGUGUGUGUGUGUGUGUGUGUGUGUGUGUGUGUUUGCACAUGCGCACACAUGCAUACGUGCAUUGUAUACAUAUACAGGUGCACUAUUCAUGCCCAUGGUAGAGACUAAAAGGUGUCUUCCUCUACCCCUUUCCACCAAGUUCUCUUGCUAAACUAGAGCUUAUAGUGUUAGACAGACUGACCAGCCUAUCUCCAGAGCCCGUAGUGCUUCCAUGCAUGUGCUGCCACACCCAGCUUUUAUGUAAGUGCUGGGAUAUGAACCCAGGUCCUCAGGUUUGCCCUAUGCUCACUGAGCCAUCUCCCCACUUUGUCCUUAAAGUACUAAACCCUGUAUUGUUUUAUUGGCAGGUGGAUCACAGGAUAAACAGUUCAAAUGUCUCCUUCCCUUGCUCAUUUUACUCCUGUGAACUUGUUACCAUUUCAAUGUAAAAUGUCUCCCCCAGGGUUUAUGUUCUA